rnacentral:rRNA from 1 species
UACGGAGGGAGCUAGCGUUGUUCGGAAUUACUGGGCGUAAAGCGCACGUAGGCGGCUUUGUAAGUUAGAGGGUGAAAAGCCCCGGGGCUCAACCCCCGGAAUUGACCUUUAAGACUGCAUCGCUUGAAUCCAGGAGAGGUGAGUGGAAUUCCGAGUGUAGAGGUGAAAUUCGUAGAUAUUCGCAAGAACACCAGUGGCGAAGGCGGCUCACUGGCCCGAUACUGACGACUG